GUGCUCCCGCGGGCAGCACGUAUAUUAAAAUUGCAAUGAUACACAGAAGAUUAGCAUGGCCCUGUGCAAGGAUGACAUGCAAGUCUGCGAAGUGUUCCAUAUUAAA